rnacentral:lncRNA from 1 species
GAAGUUGCAGUAGAGGAAGGAGAGGUAGUCGAUGAAGCCUUGGCUCGCGCAAGGGUCGAUUGAUUUGAGGUAAGCACACUUUGAUUUGUAGUCGUGAAAGUGAUUCAGAGCACUGCAAUUGUUGUCUGAUUUAGGUCUCAGGGCGCUGGAAUCAACGGGGCUUGUGAAGAGGAGACAAGAGAAGAGGAUGAGGAAUGAGUAACCAGAACGAACUGAAGAAAAUGGAUAUCCCAUCAAUCAAGUGAAACCUGGAACUCGAGAAAAAAAC